UAUAAGUCUCGCAUUGCAAUUGGGCAUGUUAUCGGCCAAUUGGCUGUUCCUUCACUCAAGUUCUCGGUAUAAUUUUGUCUAACAGCAUGACCACUACUUCUCAUGCAUCCAUCCUCAAUAGUAUUAAUUACAACAACAAAGUUCAAAUAAAGAGCUUUACAAAUAUGAUUAAUACUUGUUAGAAAAAGCAAGCAGUAUUUCCUUUGGACGCCCAUGAUCUCUGAUCGUCGCUAAUUCUUGGUAGAUCAUCUUCACUUCAAAUCAUCUGUCGAUAUCUUCAACCGCCUCAGAGAAAUAAACAGAUUGGUCCUUAUUAGCACCCUUACAAACCUAUUCCCACAGAGAAAAAAAAAUGGGAGAACAAACUUGACUGCGUUAGUGGCUGACGAAGGUAUAAAUUUUACUGGACCAUGCAGACAGAGAGAUGUACUACAGUGUUCAAGGCAAUAGUGUCGGUUGGGCACAUUUAUAGGCACAAAAAAAUGACAGAAUCUAUUAUGCCAUGAUGGAAUUGCAGUCUGCACCAGCAGCAGGUAUUAUAAAAUAGAGUAGCUUUCGUUUACCUCGAAACCUCGGCUAGUUAGAGAAUCUUGGAGAACUUCUCCAGGUAUGUUCAUUCAUUAAGACAAUCCAGGAAGCAAUUGAUUAAAGAGGGUUUAUUCUGCCGAUGAUGGCGCUCACCUUCAUAAUAGAUUUUGGCUUAGAUGCUUGUAGACCAACUACAGAUUUUGGCUUCUUGCCAUGCCAAGCAACCAAGGAUAUAACAGCCAUCCUGCGCUCCCCCUGCACCUAAAUCAUAGAGGCAUAGUAAGGAAAACAAGUAAAUCUGAAGAAACAAGGCUGAAGGAAACAAGAAAAUGCGCUGACCCACCUUGUCCCCACAAAUACCCAACCUAGAUCAAACCCUAGUCAAAGUCCUUGCUCUUCUUGACCGCUCCGUCUUCACUGCCCAUCUCCUCCCCUCUCGUCCCCUCCCCUCCACCAUUGCCUGCUCCAGCAGCAGAUCCAGCAAGGAAUCCGACCCAAUCGACUGGGCGGCACUCGUCAAGGAGGUCUCCAGCUCCUCCGCCCCAGACGAUGGAAGUCACGCUUCGCAUUGACCUUAGCCGGUCGCGGAUGGACAGGGGCGGGAGCAGUAGUUCCGCAGCCUCCAUGGUUUUGGCACCCUACAACCACAAUUGCGAUUCACUUCCCACUGAUUUAGUCUACAAUAGGUCUAAAUAAAAUAGUAACAACAUAACCAAAUGUCAAUACAUGAUUGUAUGAACAGAGUAAAAAAUAUGAUAAAGAAAUAUCAGACUACAAUCUCCCAAAAGGUCAAACCAAUGCACUACAGUGGGUGUCCUGUGCAAAAUGAAACUAGAAACCAGGGAUAGGGAAGACACUACGAAAGGGAAAAGAAUAAAGAGAACUACCACUACCAGAGCGUGGAUAUUCAUAUCAUGUCCAACUUGUUCGCCAUCCAUCCGCCCCCCCUAACUUUGCAGAACAGCUCCAUGAUCAUUAACCAUAGCACAUGAUUUUUCUUUGUUCCUUUUUACCGAAAAAGGCUCUUGCCCCGCUUUAUAUAUAAAGCACUGACCAUCAGACAAAUCGAUACAAACGCACACACCACCACACACGACACACGCACCCAAGGCAAGAUACAUAGGUGCCGGGCACCGCCACACCACCCCAACGCUACCAAGCAUGGCCACCGAGGAGGGGUGAGACAUCCCACGACGGAGCACGGACUCCAAGACAGUGCCUCCAAGAAGGGAAACGACUACAAAGCGGCGCCACCGUCCGAUCCCAAAGAUCAAGUUUUCACCCGGAGCGACGCGAUGGGGAGGGAACAACCGCGACGGGGCCUUCAAGAAGGGAACGACGUCCGCGGACGCCGCCGCCGUCGGCCAGUACAACUGGGCAAGUAAUACACCCCGGCUCACCCCCCGCCAUUGCACCCAAGCUUCGCCGACCACCAGCACCCAUGCCACCCGCAUGGCCAUGGCUGCCUGCCCGCACCUGAGACGCUCGCUCCGCCCACAAACGCUGCGCCUCCCACCUCCAGGGCCGCCACCCUGAAUCCAAACACCCCCGGGACCAGCCAAAGGCCUUGGCUUUGGUCCAAUCGGCAGCCCAAAACCAACUGAACAACAGUAGGCGCCCCGCCUCAAAAAUCGCCGGAGUUGCGGCCGCGCGCACUCGGCCAAGGAAAGGGGGAGGAGGGGGAGCGGACGCAUCCGGACCGGCACACCCCUGUGCCAGCGACGGGUGGCCCGACCUCAUCGGCACCUCCCAUCCCUCCAGCCAACCUCCCCACCGGACACCCCCUGUGUCGCCCCACCACGGCGCCGGUGCAGAUCCGCGUGAGGCCACUGAUGACCACCUGUUCACCAGCAAGGGACACCCAUCCACCAGUACCAAGCGCCAAGGAUGCUCACCAGGGAGUUAACCCGCGCUGCUCGCCGCCGUCCAACCGCCAGAAUCAGCUGGAGUCCGGCUAGCACGCCAACCAGCCCGCCUCUGCUGCGCCUCCACCACCACCGGCCAGGGCCAAGCCAUGGGGUGGACGCCCGCAGCCUGCGCCGCCCGCGGCCCGCGCCGCCUGCGCCAGAUCUGACUGCGCCGGCGCAGCAGCCACCUCUGAGCCCCAGGCGCGCCCAACCGCCAAGCUGCCUGUCGCGCAGCAGCGAAGACGCAGGGACGCCGCGCCCGUCCGCUGCUCCGCCGUGACGCCCAGCACCGCGACGCGCUCCGGCCCGGAGCGCCGGCCCGCGCCGGCCCAACGCGAGCGGGAAGACCAAGAGGCCCCGCCGCCGCCGGCAACGGCUGGGCUUCGCCCGGCCGCGCCCUUAGGCGGCGGCGAGGGAGGAGGACGAAGGGAGGGAGGCAAGGGCCGGGGACGAUCUAGGGUUUCCCCCCGGUCGCCUCACGGGGGGCGACACGGGAGGGAGGGAGGGGCCUUUUCCCCUUUGUUCCUUUUGAG
rnacentral:lncRNA from 1 species